AGCAUGCAUUUCACUUGCUGAAGACAAAACUGAUAUGGUUUUGUAUCCUUUUUCAGCCUAAUGAGCAUCACCAACUCUUCUUCUGAGUUCCUCAGAAAUCUCCUUGGUUCAUGCUAUGAUACACUUCCACAAACAUAUUGUGAAGAUCAGACUUUGAU